rnacentral:rRNA from 1 species
UAGGGAAUCUUCCGCAAUGGGCGAAAGCUUGACGGAGCAACGCCGCGUGAGUGAUGAAGGUCUUCGGAUCGUAAAACUCUGUUAUUAGGGAAGAACAAAUGUGUAAGUAACUAUGCACGUCUUGACGGUACCUAAUCAGAAAGCCACGGCUACCUACGUGCCAGCAGCCGCGGUAAUACGUAGGUGGCAAGCGUUAUCCGGAAUUAUUGGGCGUAAAGCGCGCGUAGGCGGUUUUUUAAGUCUGAUGUGAAAGCCCACGGCUCAACCGUGGAGGGUCAUUGGAAACUGGAAAACUUGAGUGCAGAAGAGGAAAGUGGAAUUCCAUGUGUAGCGGUGAAAUGCGCAGAGAUAUGGAGGAACACCAGUGGCGAAGGCGACUUUCUGGUCUGUAACUGACGCUGAUGUGCGAAAGCGUGGGGAGCGAACAGG